GACGAACGCUGGCGGCGUGCUUAACACAUGCAAGUCGAGCGGUAAGGCCCUUUCGGGGGUACACGAGCGGCGAACGGGUGAGUAACACGUGGGUGACCUGCCUUUAGCUCUGGGAUAAGCCUGGGAAACUGGGUCUAAUACCGGAUAUGACCCUAUGGCGCAUGUUGUGGGGUGGAAAGCCUUGUGCGGCUAGGGAUGGGCCCGCGGCCUAUCAGCUUGUUGGUGGGGUGAUGGCCUACCAAGGCGACGACGGGUAGCCGGCCUGAGAGGGCGGCCGGCCACACUGGGACUGAGACACGGCCCAGACUCCUACGGGAGGCAGCAGUGGGGAAUCUUGCGCAAUGGGCGAAAGCCUGACGCAGCGACGCCGCGUGAGGGAUGACGGCCU
rnacentral:rRNA from 1 species